rnacentral:rRNA from 1 species
AGAGUUUGAUCAUGGCUCAGGAUGAACGCCGGCGGUGUGCCUAAUACAUGCAAGUCGAACGCGUUGGCCCAACUGAUUGGACGUGCUUGCACGGACUUGACGUUGGUUUACCAGCGAGUGGCGGACGGGUGAGUAACACGUAGGUAACCUGCCCCAAAGCGGGGGAUAACAUUUGGAAACAGAUGCUAAUACCGCAUAACAAUUUGAAUCGCAUGAUUCAAAUUUAAAAGAUGGCCUCGGCUAUCACUUUGGGAUGGACCUGCGGCGCAUUAGCUUGUUGGUAGGGUAACGGCCUACCAAGGCUGUGAUGCGUAGCCGAGUUGAGAGACUGAUCGGCCACAAUGGAACUGAGACACGGUCCAUACUCCUACGGGAGGCAGCAGUAGGGAAUCUUCCACAAUGGGCGCAAGCCUGAUGGAGCAACACCGCGUGAGUGAAGAAGGGUUUCGGCUCGUAAAGCUCUGUUGUUAGAGAAGAACGUGCGUGAUAGCAACUGUUCACGCAGUGACGGUAUCUAACCAAAAAGUCACGGCUAACUACGUGCCAGCAGCCGCGGUAAUACGUAGGUGGCAAUCGUUAUCCGGAUAUAUGGUUUCUCA